AUAGGGAACGUGAGCUGGAUUUAGACCGUCGUGAGACAGGUUAGUUUUACCCUACUGAUAACAGGUCGUUGCCGUAGUAAUCCUUGCUUAGUACGAGAGGAACCGCAGGGUUCGGGCAUUUGGUACACGCACUCGGUCGACAGGCCGGUGGUGCGAUGCCACCGUCCGCGGGAUUAUGCCUGAACGCCUCUAAGGCCGAAUCCCGACUAUGGUUCAACGAUUUAACAAUGGGUCCCGUGAGUCGAAAGGCUCAAAACAAUGUGACUUUAAUAGGCGGCCGGUUUAAACGGCUGUCGCCUGAGCCUUGUGGCUAAAAAUUCCAUUGUGUAAUUAAAUAUAUAGUAAAUUCUAGAUAUUUAAUUGGUUUUUUUAGCGUAACAUGGUUGAACCCUUCGGGGAGUUCGAUGUCGGGACCCAGAAUCGUCUGUAGACGACUUUUGUACCGGGCGGGGUGUUGUACUCGGGAGAGCAGUUAACUCGCUGCGAUCUGUUGAGACUCAGCCCUAGCUGGGGAGAUUCGU
rfam:Rhodnius prolixus Rhodnius_prolixus-3.0.3-9912.1, whole genome shotgun sequence.